rnacentral:lncRNA from 1 species
UUAGAUGUGCACUCCCACUCCCCCUCUGUAGGAUGGUUCUGCUGCUCAUCAGGAUAACUGAUUAAUGUGUGAUGUGCUUCUGUGCCGUUCUUUAUCCCAGGAUCUCAAACCACUACAUGGACAUUAAGUCAUUUUCUUACGGGGAUUCCAUGAGCAAGAUGUGGCAAGUACUGUUAGCCCUCUGACUUGCCCAGCAGUGCACAGCAAGUAAAGGUAGACUCAGGAUUGAACUCGGACUCCUGGCUUCCUGUCAGUGCUUUGUCCAUGGCUCUCAUCCCUAGACUGUAGUCUCUACUUUGUAUUUGGAAAGUGGCUAGCAUAGUUAAUCACACAUUAUAAUUUGUACAUUUGUGUCUUAAAGACCUUUUUUUUUCAUUAAAUAGGUAACUGGGGUCUGCUUUUUAGUUGCAUUCAUUUUCACCUCGCUCAACCUUCGCAGGUCAUUUUCUUUUAUUUGAGCUGUGUUCCAAAGACUCAGCACUCCAAAACCCUGGAACGGUUCUGCUCUGUUAUGCCAGCAAACUCUCGACUUGCACUGAGGCUACUUCAACACGAAUGGGAAGAAAGCAAUGUUCAGAUUCUGAAACUCCAAGCCAAGAUGUUUACAUAUAAUUUACCAACAUGCCUGGCCACCUGGAAAAUGUAAUGCAACAAUCAUGUACAUGUUUUUAUAGCUAUGCUUUUAUUUGUAAGGGUUGCUCCAGACAGGUAAAUCUGAAAUAGCAUCUUAUCCCCUCCCCUAAACAGACAUAGUAUAGAGUUGUUUUAGGUACUUGCUGUGGUUUAAUACCUAGAGCGAGUAAAAUGCUCAUUAAUAGCUGCUUCUGAGAUUAAUGAUA